GAUCUCAAGGCUAUAGGAAUACCAAUGGGCCCAAGAAAGAAGAUAAUUUUGGCAUUGGAAUCUAGGGGCUGAUAUUGGGAAGGGAAGUGCAUACUUGCAUGUAUUAUGGUUUGACAGUCCAGUUAGCAGGGCUGUGUUGUGGUUGAUAUAUGCCUGGAUGUAACAUUUUUCCCUGUUGGUUUUUCUCUUUGGUUCAUAUGCUGAAAGUGGCCUAACUGGCUCAUUAUAGAUAUGAACCAAAGAGAAAAACCAACAGGGAA
rnacentral:misc_RNA from 1 species